GACGAACGUUGGCGGCGUGCUUAACACAUGCAAGUCGAACGGAAAGGCCCUGCUUUUGUGGGGUGCUCGAGUGGCGAACGGGUGAGUAACACGUGAGUAACCUGCCCUUGACUCUGGGAUAACUUCAGGAAACUGGGGCUAAUACCGGAUAGGAGCUCCUGCUGCAUGGUGGGGGUUGGAAAGUUUCGGCGGUUGGGGAUGGACUCGCGGCUUAUCAGCUUGUUGGUGGGGUAGUGGCUUACCAAGGCUUUGACGGGUAGCCGGCCUGAGAGGGUGACCGGCCACAUUGGGACUGAGAUACGGCCCAGACUCCUACGGGAGGCAGCAGUGGGGAAUAUUGCACAAUGGGCGGAAGCCUGAUGCAGCAACGCCGCGUGCGGGAUGACGGCCUUCGGGUUGUAAACCGCUUUCGCCUGUGACGAAGCGUGAGUGACGGUAAUGGGUAAAGAAGCACCGGCUAACUACGUGCCAGCAGCCGCGGUGAUACGUAGGGUGCGAGCGUUGUCCGGAUUUAUUGGGCGUAAAGGGCUCGUAGGUGGUUGAUCGCGUCGGAAGUGUAAUCUUGGGGCUUAACCCUGAGCGUGCUUUCGAUACGGGUUGACUUGAGGAAGGUAGGGGAGAAUGGAAUUCCUGGUGGAGCGGUGGAAUGCGCAGAUAUCAGGAGGAACACCAGUGGCGAAGGCGGUUCUCUGGGCCUUUCCUGACGCUGAGGAGCGAAAGCGUGGGGAGCGAACAGGCUUAGAUACCCUGGUAGUCCACGCUGUAAACGGUGGGUACUAGGUGUGGGGUCCAUUCCACGGGUUCCGUGCCGUAGCUAACGCUUUAAGUACCCCGCCUGGGGAGUACGGCCGCAAGGCUAAAACUCAAAGGAAUUGACGGGGCCCCGCACAAGCGGCGGAGCAUGCGGAUUAAUUCGAUGCAACGCGUAGAACCUUACCUGGGUUUGACAUGGAUCGGGAGUGCUCAGAGAUGGGUGUGCCUCUUUUGGGGUCGGUUCACAGGUGGUGCAUGGCUGUCGUCAGCUCGUGUCGUGAGAUGUUGGGUUAAGUCCCGCAACGAGCGCAACCCUUGUUCACUGUUGCCAGCACGUUAUGGUGGGGACUCAGUGGAGACCGCCGGGGUCAACUCGGAGGAAGGUGGGGAUGACGUCAAGUCAUCAUGCCCCUUAUGUCCAGGGCUUCACGCAUGCUACAAUGGCUGGUACAGAGAGUGGCGAGCCUGUGAGGGUGAGCGAAUCUCGGAAAGCCGGUCUCAGUUCGGAUUGGGGUCUGCAACUCGACCUCAUGAAGUCGGAGUCGCUAGUAAUCGCAGAUCAGCAACGCUGCGGUGAAUACGUUCCCGGGGCU
rnacentral:rRNA from 1 species